UUCUCUUCCUCAUUGUCUCUCUUCUCCUGCCCCAUGGCGACUCUACCCCCAUCUUGAGGUCUCCUAAAACUCCUGUGUCCCCCAUUACCCUUCUCCCAAGCCCCCGUCUACCCUUUGUCCUGCCCCCAAGUCUGAUCCAUCAUGUGCCUCUAACCCUCGUCUCCGGCAGCCCUGCUUCCCAGCUACAAGCUUCUCAUUGCCUGAAGUGACCCGAGGCUGACCCAGCGCCCGCUAACCUGGCACAGGAGAACCCCUCAUUUUGGGGGACACGACGGACUCUGGGGUGGAAGGCAAGUGCUGGGUCCAAUCAACUGAACUGAUUUCUAGAGGAUUGUGAGCUGCGAUUUGAAAAACACUGAUCUGUGAGGCGUCGAGCACAUGAGUGGGCACGCACACGCAUGUGGUCUUGCACUCUUAGCGGUCAUCUCGCAC
rnacentral:lncRNA from 1 species